GCGUCUACGGACGCUCGAGAAACUUCUACGGGAGUUUUCUCUUAAAACAAAUGCCUCUAACUCGUCAUCUAAAAUUGUCGGACAAAGUCCGAGAAAUAUACGGCGUCUACGGACGCUCGAGAAACUUCUACGGGAGUUUUCUCUUAAAACAAAUGCCUCGAACUCGUCGGAGUUUUCUCUUAAAACAAAUGCCUCUAACUCGUCAUCUAAAAUUGUCGGACAAAGUCCGAGAAAAAUACGGCGUCUACGGACGCUCGAGAAACUUCUACGGGAGUUUUCUCUUAAAACAAAUGCCUCUAACUCGUCA
rnacentral:lncRNA from 1 species